rnacentral:rRNA from 1 species
CCCUUAGAUGCUCUGGGCCGCACGCGCGCUACACUGGUCGAUGCAACGAGUUUCUUUCCUUGGCCGACAGGCCUGGGCAAUCUUUGAACAUCGAUCGUGAUCGGGAUAGAUUCUUGUAAUUUUUGAUCUUAAACGAGGAAUUCCUAGUAAACGCAAGUCAUCAGCUUGCAUUGAUUACGUCCCUGCCCUUUGUACACACCGCCCGUCGCACCUACCGAUUGAAUGGUCCGGUGAGAUCUCCGGACUGGCGUGAGUCGGAGCAAUCUGACAAACACCGGAAAGUUGAUUAAACCUUACCAUUUAGAGGAAGGUGAAGUCGUAACA